UUUGAAAUUUGAGAACCGUCGUCUCUCUCUCUCCACUGCUCCACCCCUCUUUCUCUCUCUCUUGUUCCUUCUUCCAUCCUACUACCGACCUUUCCCGCUCCCCCCCCAUAUCUGUUUUUCUCACCCUCCAAUCUCCCUCCUUUCUCUCUACAAUAGCCCAUCCUUUUCCUCACUCCACAGGGAGCUAAAUUUACCCACUAUUCGGGUGUUGUCUCUCUCUCUAGCCCAACUUCUUUUCCUCCGUCGUAUUCACUUUCUUUCUCUCUGCCCCUCCCCCUGCCCCACUCUCUAUACCGAUGAAAGGAAACGCUACACCUCAAACUCAAAGAGUGAAAAAAACUUAGGAAGAUCAAGGUCAAGAUUUUGGGUGAGCUGGAAAUAUCAUGAUCAAGAGAUUCGAGUCCGUGGAACUCUUUCUUUUAGAUUGAUUCUUUAUAAACUGGCCUUGGUUAUUGAUUGGAAACGUAUCAUCGGUUGCUUAAAAUCAUUAUUUUGUGGGUUCUUCAAGUACCUGAUGGAAAUGUAUCAUCUGUUGCUUGAAAUCAUUAUUUUGUGGGUUCUACAACAUUACCACUAUAGCUUUUUAUCUCAUUGCCCUUGGAACAAGAGGUCCAAGAAGGAUGUGUUACCAUGAAUUCUAUUGCUGAGCAAGACAACGUUAUGUAUCAAUCCGAGAAGAUUGGAAGGGAGAUCUUAUAUUGUAUUAUGUUAUUUUAUGCUUUUUAAUGAUGGGAAUUUGGUAUUA